rnacentral:lncRNA from 10 species
GUUUCCUGAAGGCUAUAGCCGGAGCCACGAAAAAGUUCGGAAACAAAUUGCUUGGUCUUUGAGGAAUCGCCACACUGCCUUCCACAUGGAAAGGACACAAAUGGUUGAACUGAUUUACACUCCCACCAACUGUGUAUAAGUGUGCCUUUUUCUCCACAACCAGGAAGAUUGGAACUUGAUAGAGCAGAAGAUCAGCUGAACGCUGGAAGACUCUCCAGUGUGAAAUGUUUAUUUCUAGGAUCUUCUGUUCAACCUUGGAGCCUUCAGAGUCCUAUGUAUAGUCUUAAACUGCUGAUCUAAAAAUGGUGCUCUGUUUCAGCAGGUAAUUAAUGAUGUUACACAUUUUAAUAAAAUUUUUCAGCUAGAUUGCUACCUAUUUGCCAGAUAUUGUCUCCGUUUCUUUCCCCAAAGUUAAUAUACUCAUAUUUGU